AUCAAAAUUGUCCACAAGAAUGCAAAAUUUAGUAUUUUUUCUUAAAAUCUUUGUUUAAGAUGAUGUUUACAAAUAUGAGUCAAUAAAACGGACCUACUGAAAGAUCUGUUUAUUGAAAUAGUUUAAGGGCAUAAACAAAUAUACCAAAAUGUUAGGGUGAUAAUCCCUCGCGACACACUAUCUUUAAUCUAAUAUCAUGUGAUUGACAUAAUAAAAAAAUAUGCUUGCUUAUCAAUAAGGGUAUUUCUAAAAUUUGUUGAAAGUUAAACAACCUUAGUUAUAGAAAAUUUUCUUUAUUGCAAACAAUAUGUGGCGAUUAUUUCUGUACUUCGCUUAUUUUGGGUACUUGUACAUUUUGAUUGUGAAUGGGGAUAAAACACAAACUCACGAUCUCGAAGAACCGGAUAAUGGUGAUGCUGGUGUAGAUGUCGGCGUUGAUGUCGGGGUUGAUCAAGUUGUGAGAAGAGUAAAACGUGGUGGUAAAUUUU